CCCCGUCUCCUGUAUUUUUCUUCAUAUCCCUGUUCACUCGCAAUUCAUUUUACUGAAUAUCUUCUUUUUCUUUUCUCUUUGUAUUUCUUUUUAUUCCCAAAAAUCACUAGGAAUUGUCCAAUAAAAUUGUCAUCCCUACUGAUCAACCACACCUCCAAUGUCUCGGUCCUCUAGGAGAUCCAGAUCCAACCGACCUUAUUAAUGC
rnacentral:lncRNA from 1 species